CGCACGGUGGCUUAGUGGUUAGCACGUUCGCCUCACAUCUCCAGGGUCCGGGGUUCGAGUCCCGCCGGAGCCA